rnacentral:rRNA from 1 species
GACGAACGCUGGCGGCGUGCUUAACACAUGCAAGUCGAACGCUGAAGCCCUGGCUUUUGUUGGGUUGGAUGAGUGGCGAACGGGUGAGUAACACGUGAGUAACCUGCCCUCUUCUUUGGGAUAACGCCCGGAAACGGGUGCUAAUACUGGAUAUUCACUGGCCUUCGCAUGGGGGUUGGUGGAAAGGUUUGUUCUGGUGGGGGAUGGGCUCGCGGCCUAUCAGCUUGUUGGUGGGGUGAUGGCCUACCAAGGCUUUGACGGGUAGCCGGCCUGAGAGGGUGACCGGUCACAUUGGGACUGAGAUACGGCCCAGACUCCUACGGGAGGCAGCAGUGGGGAAUAUUGCACAAUGGGCGAAAGCCUGAUGCAGCGACGCCGCGUGAGGGAUGGAGGCCUUCGGGUUGUAAACCUCUUUCGCUCAUGGUCAAGCCGAAACUGUGGGUUGUGGUGAGGGUAGUGGGGAAAGAAGCGCCGGCGAACUACGU